AGGGACAGAGAAGGACUACCAAGGGCUGCUUUCACUUGUCUUUGCCUUCAAUGUGCUCAUCGUUAAGUCAGUGUCUGCUUCUUGCUUUGCCUUCCUCAGAGGGAAUGUGGAAUCUAGGAUGAAAAGGCAUUUUAGGGUAAGGUCUGGGCAGGGGCUAAUUCAAGGCGUGUCUCAUACAUUUAAAACUCUGGGUUUCUUCCUUAUAAAUGAAGUCAAAAGCUUCCAACUGCAUGCAUAGGGUAUCUUGAUGAACUACUAUUUAGGGAUUUGGGUUAUAUGAGUUGCUUCUAUUAUGCAGAAAAGGAAAAGAGGCCUCGCUCUCUGCUUCCUUCUUUCCAUC